rnacentral:rRNA from 1 species
GUGUGCGAUCCUUUCAGCAUUUAUGCAUCGGAUUCCAUCAGAACUCCGCAGAUAAGCGUGCUUGGGCGAGAAUGGUACUAAGUCAAACUUUGUUGCAAGAC